AUCAGUCUUGCAUAUGUACCCUCUGUAUACAAAUUCUUAUGAUGUGAAAAACACAUAAAUACAAGUAACAAUGUACUGGUAUUGCAUCUCUGUCAAGAGUUUCUGAUCCACUCCACUCUACAUUUUUUGGAAUUGGAGCGGAUCAAAAACCCUUGACAUCAUCUUCCCAGUCGAGAGCUUCUGAUCCGCUCUGCUCAGCAUGUGUGAGAAGCAGUUCAUCUUUCCAAGCCUAGAGUUUCUGAUCCGCUCCGCUUUACAUUUUGAGAACAGAGCGGACCAGAAACCUUUGACUUGAAUGAACAUCACAUGAAUUGAUUUCAUGUUUAUUUUACAGGUAUUUCAUGCUUACGUUUCACUUGUGUCCCAUUAAGAAGACACAAAUGUAUUUUUUUAUUUAAGUUUUCCUUACAUGUACCCAGUGACCAGUGAUUUAACAACUUAAUAUUUUGAAUAUUUACAUGUACAUGUGUAUAAAAUUUACAGUACUCU
rnacentral:sRNA from 1 species